CACGUAGGCGGUUUGUUAAGUCGGAUGUGAAAGCCCCGGGCUCAACCUGGGAACUGCAUUCGAUACUGGCAGGCUGGAGUAUGGUAGAGGGAAGUGGAAUUCCGGGUGUAGCGGUGAAAUGCGUAGAUAUCCGGAGGAACAUCAGUGGCGAAGGCGGCUUCCUGGACCGAUACUGACGCUGAGGUGCGAAAGCGUGGGGAGCAAACA
rnacentral:rRNA from 1 species